rnacentral:rRNA from 1 species
AAUGAACGUUGGCGGCAUGGAUUAGGCAUGCAAGUCGAGCGAGAAGUGUAGCAAUACACGGAAAGCGGCGGAAGGGAGAGUAAUACGUGGGAAACUGCCCUUAGACCUGGGAUAGCAGCGGGAAACUGCUGGUAAUACCAGAUAAUGUCUAUGGACCAAAGGUGUGAUUCCGUCUAGGGAUGAGCCACGUCCUAUUAGCUAGUUGGUAGGGUAAUGGCCUACCAAGGCGAUGAUGGGUAGCGGGUGUGAGAGCAUGACCCGCCUCACUGGGACUGAGACACUGCCCAGACACCUACGGGUGGCUGCAGUCGAGAAUCUUCGGCAAUGGGCGCAAGCCUGACCGAGCGAUGCCGCGUGCGGGAUGAAGGCCUUCGGGUUGUAAACCGCUGUCGAGGGGGAGGCGAACUUCCAUAGAGUUAUCUUUAUGGAUUGAGUGAUCCCUGGAGGAAGGACGGGCUAAGUUCGUGCCAGCAGCCGCGGUAAU